rnacentral:misc_RNA from 1 species
CCCAUUUCUAGUCAAUUGUGGAGAUUAUAUUGGUCAAGCCAUCAGCGUUUCUUUAGACACAUGUGCAUGUCAGCUAAGGUUCCUGCUACUGUAAGACUAGCUAAGCAAGCAUUGAUGGAAGAUAAGUGUGUGGUUAUUGGCCUCCNNNNNNNNNNGAGGCUCGAACUGAGGAAGCUGUGACAAAAUAUGGUCUUGAACUUGAUGAUUUUAUAUCCGGACCCCGUG